AUGACAAAGGAAACGUCAUCGUUUGGAAAGCAUCGCGAUAAGACACACACUUUGUGCCGCCACUGUGGCUCUAUGGCCUGCCAACUUCAGAAGUCGACCUGUGGCAAACGUGGCUACCCCGCCAAGCACUAGAGGAAGUAUAACUGGCUAAAAGACAAAAUACCACUGGGACUGAUCGAAUGAGGCACCUAAAAAUUGUAUACUGCAGAUUCAGGCAUGGAUUCUGUGAAGGAACAACACCUAAACCCAAGAGGGUACCUGUUGCAGCAUCCAGUUCAUCUUAA
rnacentral:lncRNA from 1 species